AACGAACGCUGGCGGCGUGCUUAACACAUGCAAGUCGAGCGCGAAAGGGGCUUCGGCCCCGAGUAGAGCGGCAGACGGGUGAGUAACACGUGGGUAACCUACCCCUGGGUGGGGGAUAACCACUCGAAAGGGUGGCUAAUACCGCAUAAGACCACGACUCUGCGGAGUUGGGGUCAAAGGCGCAAGUCGCCCAGGGAGGGGCCCGCGGCCGAUUAGCUAGUUGGUGAGGUAAUGGCUCACCAAGGCGACGAUCGGUAGCUGGUCUGAGAGGAUGAUCAGCCACACUGGUACUUAGACACGGACCAGACUCCUACGGGAGGCAGCAGUGGGGAAUAUUGCGCAAUGGGCGAAAGCCUGACGCAGCAACGCCGCGUGGGUGAAGAAGGUCUUCGGAUCGUAAAGCCCUGUCAAGUGGGAAGAAACCUGCUCUUGAGGCAGCUGACGGUACCACUGAAGGAAGCACCGGCUAACUCCGUGCCAGCCGCCGCCGUAAUAC
rnacentral:rRNA from 1 species